GCAGUCGAACGAUGAUCAGGAGCUUGCUUCUGUGAUUAGUGGCGAACGGGUGAGUAACACGUGAGUAACCUGCCCCUGACUCUGGGAUAAGCGUUGGAAACGACGUCUAAUACUGGAUAUGACUUCCGGCCGCAUGGUCUGGUUGUGGAAAGAUUUUUUGGUUGGGGAUGGACUCGCGGCCUAUCAGCUUGUUGGUGAGGUAAUGGCUCACCAAGGCGACGACGGGUAGCCGGCCUGAGAGGGUGACCGGCCACACUGGGACUGAGACACGGCCCAGACUCCUACGGGAGGCAGCAGUGGGGAAUAUUGCACAAUGGGCGAAAGCCUGAUGCAGCAACGCCGCGUGAGGGAUGACGGCCUUCGGGUUGUAAACCUCUUUUAGUAGGGAAGAAGCGAAAGUGACGGUACCUGCAGAAAAAGCACCGGCUAACUACGUGCCAGCAGCCGCGGUAAUACGUAGGGUGCAAGCGUUGUCCGGAAUUAUUGGGCGUAAAGAGCUCGUAGGCGGUUUGUCGCGUCUGCUGUGAAAUCCCGAGGCUCAACCUCGGGCUUGCAGUGGGUACGGGCAGACUAGAGUGCGGU
rnacentral:rRNA from 1 species